rfam:Toxocara canis scaffold806, whole genome shotgun sequence.
CGGGCAGUAGCUCAGUGGUAGAGCUCCCGUGUCAUAUGCGGGAAGACCUGGGUUCGAUUCCCGGCUGCUCAC